rnacentral:rRNA from 1 species
GACGAACGCUGGCGGCGUGCUUAACACAUGCAGGUCGAACGGGCCUUGUCCCCUUUUUUUUUGGGGGUGGGGUUAGUGGCGAACGGGUGAGUAACACGUGAGUAACCUGCCCCUCACUUCUGGAUAACCGCUUGAAAGGGUGGCUAAUACGGGGUGUUCUGGCCUGCUCGCAUGGGUGGGUUUGGAAAGAUUCGACCGGUUUUGGUUGUUUUUGUGGGGGAUGGGCUCGCGGCCUAUCAGCUUGUUGGUGGGGUGAUGGCCUGCCAAGGCUUUGACGGGUAGCCGGCCUGAGAGGGUGGGCGGGCACAAUGGGACUGAGACACGGCCCAGACUCCUACGGGAGGCAGCAGUGGGGAAUAUUGCACAAUGGGCGCAAGCCUGAUGCAGCGACGCCGCGUGAGGGAUGGAGGCCUUCGGGUUGUGAACCUCUUUCGCCAGUGAAGAAGGUCCUGCUCUUUGUGGUGGGGUUGACGGUAGCUGGGUUAAUGAAGCGCCGGCUAACUACGUG